rnacentral:rRNA from 1 species
GACAGAGGGUGCAAACGUUGUUCGGAAUUACUGGGCGUAAAGCGCGUGUAGGCGGUUCGGAAAGUCGGGUGUGAAAUCCCUGGGCUCAACCCAGGAACUGCGUCCGAUACUGAAGGCUUGAAUCCGGGAGAGGGAUGCGGAAUUCCAGGUGUAGCGGUGAAAUGCGUAGAUAUCUGGAGGAACACCGGUGGCGAAGGCGGCAUCCUGGACCGGUAUUGACGCUGAGGCGCGAAAGCCAGGGGAGCAAAGCGGG